rnacentral:rRNA from 1 species
GACCGUCGUAUGAAAGUACGUUUUCACCUCGGGUGACAGGGAGACAGGUGGUGCAUGGUUGUCGUCAGCUCGUGUCGUGAGAUGUUGGGUUAAGUCCCGCAACGAGCGCAACCCCUACGUUUAGUUGCUAACGCGUGAAGGCGAGCACUCUAGACGAACUGCCGUUGACAAAACGGAGGAAGGUGGGGAUGACGUCAAAUCAUCAUGCCCCUUAUGUUCUGGGCUACACACGUGCUACAAUGGCCGGUACAGACGGACGCAAAGCCGCGAGGUGGAGCAAAUCCUAAAAAGCCGGUCUCAGUCCGGAUUGAAGUCUGCAACUCGACUUCAUGAAGGCGGAAUCGCUAGUAACCGCGAAUCAGCAGGUCGCGGUGAAUACGUUCCCGGGCCUU